rnacentral:lncRNA from 1 species
GGUGUCAUAUGGGUGACAUCACUCCCCCAGCUAGCCAAUGGCUGGGGGCCGGCUCCGCCCAUCUUCCUUUAUUAACUCGGAGGCCCCGCCCCUCCACCCCGCCCUCCGGGCUGCUUUGCAAAGAUGGGGGUGGGGGGAGAGGAGGCAUGUCUAGAAAUAUGUUAUUUUUAAAAAAUCCGCGUGUGUGCACAGAUGCGCCUGUUCCCGGGAUGCUCGGAAGCGGCGCGCGGCACCACGGGGAGCGGGCGGCCCGGGGCGAACCGGGAUGGUUCGGGCGCCGGCGCUAACCGAGGACCGGGUCCCGGGAGAGGCCCCGCGCGCCUUUGUGCCCAGUCCCCGGGAGGCCCGACGGCGACAGCGGACGGCGCGCGCUCACUCCCCGGGUGCACACACUCGGGCACGCGCCCAGCCUGAGACGGCGGCCUCCGCCCGGCUCGCGGUCAGCCGCGCCCGGCCUGCCCCGGGGUGGGCGCAGCUGCUCCCCGGCGAGCCCCUCGCGGGGCUCGGCCGCUCCCCCGGGUCGCCGCCCCGAGCCCGCCCGGUAGCCCCGCGGCGGCCCUGGCCGACGGAAGGUGGCGCUUGAAGACAGCAACCUUCCCGGCACGUGGGCUCUGCUCUCCUUUUCCCUUUCUCCCUUUUUGUAAGGCAAAGAAAUCAAUUUAAAGCUCGAGAGGCGGUGAGCUCCCUCCCCCGUUUUGCAUUUUUCUGUUUUGUCCUUUUUCUCCGUCUGUUUUCCCUCCUCGGUGGUGUUUGGGGACGCGGCUGUGCGGGUUGGGCUGCGCCGCGCCCCCGCGCGCCCCGCCCCGGGCGGGGGCCGGAGUAACGGUCUGCGGGGCCCUCGGGUUCAAGCUGGCCACUCCCAGGGCUGGCUCCGGAGCGGGCUCUGGGUCCCGCAGGCUCCAGCAAGCCCGCGCCCCGCCCGGCGUCCCUGCGAGGGGCCCGGCGCCCUCCUUCCCUUCUCCCUCUGCUCCCCGCCCCUCCUCUCCCCGCCCCGUCCUCUCCCCGCCCCUCCGCCGCUCCUUUCUCCUUCCCAGGCCUCCUCUUCCUCUUUGUCCUUCCCCCAUCCUCGGUCGCCAGCGCUUCUCCGGCAGCCUCGUCCUGAAAUCGUGCGAUUGUGAGCUAGAAGCCUUCUGGGUCACUCAUAAACCAAAGAGAAAAUAAGGUGCACUCGAGUUUCCCGUCUAAAUAUUUUCCCUGGAGAUGGAAAGGUGCGCUGGCGGCCGGGGAGCCGCGACCUGGGGCGCGCUGGGCCUCGCAGAGCAGCCGCGGACCCCGGCGAUCGUGCCGUGUUCGUCUCCUUUGUGUUUCUUUAUUGAGUCCCUACUACCUCUACGGAUAUUCUGGGGGCAAUUAAAGAAAAUCACCGCUUCAUAGGCAGCACAUAUUUCCCAUAGAAAUGUGGAAUGUAAGAAAGGCACAUAAAGCAAUCCAAGUUGCCUGCAGAUAUCCACAGCCUACUUCAGUCUCAGUAAUGCUCUUUUAACCUGGUUUUCAAUUUCAGCUAUAUGGAGAGUUGACAGAAAAUACAGGAUCAUCAAUCAAUGAUACAGUAAAUACAGAAUUCCUCACAGAUGAUGAAUGUUGUCCUUCAGCGUCUGUGGUCACUUCCACCUUUAACUAAAGUUGGAGUUGGAAGAAAGGCAAUGUGACUCCAAACUUCACAGUACCUCCAUCUUAGACAAACACGACUCUCUCCUUCACCUGCGUGCCAGCUGAGGGAGUUCUGUUCCAUUGCUGUCUCCGGGGACUCUGUCAGUAUAUUUGAUGUAAUACUUGUUUCUGUCCAUAAAACAUGUGAUGAUGAGAAGAUCGCAGUGCAGAUCCAAAAUCAUAUGCUCACUGCAGGCUUGGACUCCCUGCUGGAUGUUGUGUACGUGGAGGGCUCCUGCUUAUGCCACUAGGACAAAAUGACCGCUUUUGCUUAAGAGAUAUAGUUCCUACUGAUUUUUAUAAUUCCAUUAAGAGUCAAUCUUGUUUGGAAUGGGUUCAAUCCUUGCUACUGUCAUUCCAAUAGGAUUUGUUCAAGAAUCUAGGAUAUUUUGAUUAUUUACAGCAUAUUCCACAUUAAACCAGAAAAGAGAACCAUUUAUCUGUAUAUUAUUUCAGAUCACUAUGUGUCUUAGUAUUUUCUGAUAGGGAGUAUCAAUAUCCUUUAAUCAUUCAUUCACUUAUUUAUUUGUUAAAUAAAUGCUUAUUAAAUGUGUGUUCUGUCCCAGCCACCAUGUUCAGAAAAUUAAUGAAAAAACAUGGUUUCUACUUCAGUUCAACCCACAUGUAGAGUCAUGUAUUAUGUGACAGACAUUGGUUUCAGUGUUGAGGACAUAGAGGGGAAAACUCAGAAUUCAUGCCUCACAGAACUCAUAAUUCUGUUGGGUGAAACACAUACACACAUAGAACAUGUUAAACAUGAAUAUAGCAAUUAAAAAGAAACACUAUAGGAUAUUUUAGAGAAUAACUUCAUUUAAGAAUUACUUUCCAGUAUUUUCCACAAAGCAGAUAUGCUCAUUUUGAAAGGAAA